rfam:Schistosoma mansoni strain Puerto Rico chromosome 1, complete genome
AGCUUUCCGAAUCCGUGCUGAGAUUUCGUCAGACAUCAACCCAUUAUGGCUAAUCAGACUCCCAAGAUAAGUGAAGCU